CCUCCUCUCUUCCUUGCCUGCGCUGCAUGAAGAGGAGCUGUACCCAGUAGGCCCUAAUAAAUACUGAUUGGUUGAUUGGAUUGGUCGGUUUAAUUGAUUCAUAGGUCUUGCCUGGGAACCGCCCGCACUGGGAUGGAAUCCACGCCCAGUCUCCUAUUAAGCCCCUUGAUCCUGGGCAAAACAUUGCCCCACUUGGAGCCUCAGUUUCCCCUUCUGAAAAAUGGGUAGACUCGGCCUUGCCUCCCAGGGUUGAUAGCCCCAAAUAAAAAAUAUAUAUAUUAUAUAAAAUAUUAAUAUAUAAAUAUUAAUAUAUAAAUAUUUAGAUUUUGAUAUAAAUCUGAAGUGGCUAAUUGGGUGCAGGGCUGAGAGUGCUAAAUGUAAGCUCCAUUUAGACAUGAAUCUUUAAAUAUUUUGUUACUGCUUUGUACCUCAGUGCCGAGUAGGUGCUCCAUAUUUGUAAACUGAAUCUACAGAUAUUGAGUGCCUGUAAUGUGCUAGGCACCGUUUUUGUUCUAAAUUGUUGGGGAAAGAGCGGCGAACAAGACAGUCUCUACCUUAGUUGAGGUUCUGUGCCUCGUCAAAUCAUAUGGGUGACUUUGUGCAAAUAACACUUUCUUAAGUGUCUCUUGUCCUCAUCUGUAAUAUGGGAAGAACAGUAGUUGAAGGAUUCACUGAGGUUAGACAGUUAAAGCGCUUAGAAUAGGACAGGGCCUUGCACACAUUAAAUGUUAGAUAUUAUUAAAUAAAUACAUAGGAUCAUUUUUGACAAUGUAAGUGUAAUAGAGGAAAAGAAUGAGCUAAAGAGUGCCUGGGGGUUGGGAACAGGCCACUUUGUUAGUGUGGUCACUAAAAACUUAACUUUUUUUGGAUAAAAUUUCAAAUUUACAUAUAAAUUACAAGAAUAGUAAAGAAUCUCAUAAUUUAACCAUAAUAAUAAUUUGUUAUAUUUUACUACAUUUGCAUUAUCAUAUUCUCUCUUGUGUAUUUGUUUGUGUAUGUAUUAUAUAUAAUAUGUUUUUGUAUUUUCUUUUCCCCCAAAACCACUUUAGACUAAAUUUCAGACAUCAUUCCCCUUUCAUUCCUAAAUAUUUCUGUGUGUUCUUCCUAAGAACAUGGAUAUUCUCUUGCAAAAUCUCAGUACAAUUAUCAAAAUCAAGAAUUUUGACAAUAAUGCAAUUCUUUAAUAUGUCUUCCAUAUUUAAAUUUUGCUAAUUGUCCCAAUAAUAUAGCUAUUUCCUACGAUCCAGUCAGGAUCACUUUGCAUUUAGUUGUCAUGACUCCAGAGUUUCCUUUACUCUAGAAAGGCAGUUAAUUAUUCAGCUUUUCUUUGUCCUUUAUGACCUUAACUUUUUUUUUUUUUUUUUUUUUUUGCGGUACACGGGCGUCUCACUGUUGUGGCCUCUCCCGUUGCGGAGCACAGCCUCCGGACGCGCAGGCUCAGCGGCCAUGGCUCACGGGCCUAGCCGCUCCGCGGCAUGUGGGAUCUCCCCGGACCGGGGCACGAACCUGUGUCCCCUGCAUCGGCAGGCGGACUCUAAACCACUGCGCCACCAGGGAAGCCCUGACCUUAACAUUUUUGAAGAGUACUGCUAAAAACAUCUCAACUGAUAUAACAAACUUGCCCUGUAGGGUGAUGGAUUAAGCAGAAGGCUUGAAUCUAUGCUACUCCCUGUGUGGCCACGCUCCCAUUGGAUCAACCCAACCAGAAGACAGAAGGCAAAGGAUUCCAGGUGAUACAGUCUGUAGAGGUCAGCCUCCUGGGGAACAAGGAAUCACCUCAGGAUGCACGCGGCAUGAAAGAGGUCCAGAAGCCCUUAUGUGCUCACGAUAUGGAAAACAGGCACAGAAAUUGGAGAACUUGCCCCAAACCAUGCAGGAGGAGGCAGAACCAAAGAUUCAGUUGUCUGAUUUGAAAGGCAGCAAUCCUAACCACUAUAAUUUUCUGCCUCUCAGACAGAGGGUUGAUGAGAACACUGAGUCUCAGAGAGGUGAUGUGACUUCCCCAAGGUUGCACAGCUAAUGGGUGACUUUAGACCACUUAUCCUCUGUGUUCCUCCAUUGAAGCUGCCAUGGCCCUGACAGCACUGCCUGCCUUUCGGGCUUAUUUCUGUGUGAGCCAUGGCUGGCUCUCAAUCUGCAGUGGUAUUGCCUAGCUUGAUCUGCUUCCUUACUCUGCAGCUGUGGUACCCAGUGACCUUUGGCUGUUCCCACACAUUCAAUUCCAUCCUCAAAGCACAGGAUUUUUCAAAUCAAGAAAGUUCUUUAGAAGAAUGUGCCUCAGGCUCAGAAGGACUUUCCAACAGAAAUUUCCGACAUUCCAAGGAUAGUUUGUGCUUUGAGCACUGCCUGGCUGCAGACCUCUCGCCCUUCUGGCAGGUCUCUGCCCUCUCCUACACCUUCCUCUGUCUGCUUUGCAAAUGAGGGGUAGCAGUGAGCCAGGCGGGAUGCCAGGGAUAAGAGAAAGUGAACAUGAGCUCUACUGUCACACAGACCUGUGACCCAGGGCAACUGUUAAACCUCUCUGAACCCCUACUUACUUACCUGUAAAAUGGGAUUUUGAAUAACCUCUUCCUCGUAGGGUUGUUGUGAGGAUUAAAUGAGGCAGUAUAUGUGUUUCCCAGAGCUCCUUUCAGUGUAGGCCUUGUUGCCUGUAGCUGCACAAUUGACUGUAGCUCCCACACUUAAGAGAGAAUAUCUAGAGGCUGCUGCAGGACCCCGUGUGGCCGUCCCUGGAGCCCACGUGUCUGUCCACCAGUCCGGGGGAGCACAAUGUGCCUUCUGCUUCUCUUCUGCUUCCCAGAUCUGAUGUGAGUGCCUUUCAUUGGCAGAUCCCAGUGCAAACCUGUUGGCAAGGGAUUCCUGGGAAUGUCCCCUCCAUGCUUCUAGUCCCUGCUAUGGGGGAGAGUGUAGACGGGGAGGAAUGGUGCUGAGUUGCCGACAAGAAAUCUAGCAUAUUUUCAUUUCUAAAGAACCAAUGGGCAAGGGCAAUGUUUAACCCAGAUGGGGACCAACAGUCCUCAUCAGAUGAAGGUGCAAGAGGCAUUGCUGAUGUGUGGAAGAGAGUGAGAAGCAGAGAAAGCCACAAAGGUUGGUCUCUGGGUCUCAGGCUCUUUGGAACUGCAUUUGAACAUGUGACCUGGCUCAGCCAAUAAGAUGUGUCCUAUGCUUCAAAUCAGGGGCUGGGAAAACAGAGAUGAGGGAGGGGUGGAGAACUUGUGGCAGAGGCAGCAAUGACUACAGUACCACAUUUCCAGGGAGCAGUGGUACAUUCCAAGCCUGCAGUGUGUCCAGUGAGCAGUUCUGGUGGGACGGUGGUGUGCAGGACCGGGACCUGGAACCACACGGAAGCAGUGUUCUCAUUAGACUAGCUCUGUGGCACAGUUCAGGCUGUGUUUUUGGUUGCAGAGUUUCCAAGCCUAGUUCUCUAGGCUUUCCCUUCCCAGUGAUUCACUGGGUUAACUAAUAUCUUUUCAGUGAGCUCAUUUUCUGCUUAAAUUAGUCAAGGUUGGUUCUGUUGCUUGCCACCAAGUAACUGACUAUAGUGAACUCAGAAGGCCAUUGUGAAGAUUAAAUGUAAAGAACUUAGCACAGGUCCUGGUACAUCACAAGCACCCAAUAUUAGUCAGGUUCUGCUGCAGAUAACCCGACCAGGUUAAACUGAAAGAGACUUGAUACAGGGGAUUAGGUGCUUGCAGGAUUGUUGGAUGUGCUGGACAAGCAGGUUCUAGGUAGAACUUGCAGGAAUGUCCCCCAGAAUAUAUCAACAAGAUUGGUGCACCAAGGGAGCUUCUAAAUCCUCUAUGGUUGGGAGGAUGGAGCUUCAGGAAGUCCCUGUCCCAAUUGCUGGCUCCAGGACCACGUUCCCUCAGCUGAGAGGCACAGAUCAGGAAACUGUGCUACUACUGUUGGUUCCAGGACCACGCUGCCUCUGCCUUGAUUGAUGACAAGAGAACGCAUGUCCAUAACCUUCCUCUCAGUAAUACAGUGCAAGGCACCCAUCACGCUGGACCUCUGCUAUCACUGCUGCAGGAAAAAACAAAUGCUCCCAGCAUAUGCUUACCAGUGCAGAGAGUGGAAAUACAUUCUCCACCUCACUUCUGGCUUCCAAACAGUGCAUCCAUUUUGGAAUAUAGGUGUCUCAAGGACCCAAUCUGUAGACUUGAGUUUGCCAACUUUUGAUCUGCAGUAAAGCACGCACAAAUGGAGCUGAGUGGGCCAACCCAUGAUGUCAGAAACACACCCUAAAUAUAGGGAUCACUUCCUGCUUAGUGCACCGCUUGCACUUCCCUACUCUCGCUUUUGGUGCCCUGCUUGCUGGUACCCUAAGCACAUGCUCAGUCUGCCCCUGCUAGACUAAGAACCCAAUGAGGAAAAGGUGAGCAGCCACAGCUUGGGUCUCCCAAGGCAGAGAGACAGAAAGUGGGCAGAAUGUCCAUUUCUUCUGUGCUCGGUGAACUAGUUUGACAGAACAAAAAGCCUUGCCGUGUUUCUUGUCUCUUCAAGCCUUGAGGCCUAGACUCAAAAUUAAUUCCCCCAAGGAGGUGCUCAAGAGGUGAUGCUUCAUGAUGCCUCUGGGACACGUGUGGGACGAAGAGACCAAAGCCUGGGGCAGGUAGAAAGAAGACUUCUCCCAUCCAUCUGAGUUAUCUUGGUGGGACACCAGUUAAGAAGGCAGAGCAGAAGUAGAGGACCUGCCAGUUCCUGGCAACAGCUUCUCCCACAGCAAAUCUGGGUCAUGUCUGAGGGAGGAUGCUGAUUGAGGCAUCUGGCACCCGAGCUCUGAAAAAAGCACAACUGGGCAGCGUGUCAGAAUCAGCCCUUGGCAGCACAGGGCAAGGUAGAGGUUAAGAGCAAGGGCCCUGGAGUCAGACAGACAUGGUGCUUAUGUGCUCAGGGAGUGGACAAAGUGACUUAAGCCCUCUGAGCCUUUGUUUCCUCUUCUGUAUAAGGAGGUUAAUACCUGUAUCGUGGGUGUGGGUAGCACUGAGUGUAGUGUCUGACACUGAGUAAGUCCUCCACAUGGUGAAGCAAUUAUUAAAAUGAAAAAAGGGAAGGGAAUGGACGCGUACUGAGGGCCUGCUGUGUGUCAGGCACUUGCUCUAUACCACGUCCUUUCAUCUUCACAGCAGCUCAGGGCCUCCAAGUUACCAAUAGAAACCCCUGGAGUGUGCAGUUCAGCAGCACAGAGGCAACCCUGUGAGGUGGAAAUUCUCCUUCCCAUUUUGUAGAGAAAGAAACAUCGGUAUAGCAGACACUUUCGGGGCCUCACCCGUAUCCUUUUGCCCUCACCACCUCAGCAACUUCCGACAGCUGACACCUGCAUUUCUUUGCCCAAGGAUUUCCUGUUGCUGUCAGGCUGGGAGGACUGGGACGUUAACAAUCCCCUUCCCAGCAGCUUUCAACCACUGACGACUGAUGGGCGUUUGUGCAGAAACACCCUGUCUGCCAUGACCCAGGGGGAUAACCCUGAGGUGUCAGUGCUGCACUGUCUCUCAAAAAUUCCCAAUGGGAUUAAGCUUCCUAUCUAAUAAGAUAUAUUUAUCCUUGUUACAAGUGAAGAAGUUCUCACCCUUUCCCCAAAGCGAGGAGAAGCGUGAUCCCCAUGUUCAUGGUAUCCAUUGCUAGUUUGGUUUUUUUAAACUUUAUAUUGGAGUAUAGUUGACUAAAAAUGUUGUGUUAGUUUCAGGUGUACAGCAAAGUAAUUCAGUUAUACAUGUAUCAAGUCUUUUCCCAUUUAGGUUAUUACAGAAUAUUGAGCAGAGUUCCCUGUGUCCAUUGCUAGUUAUAUUAAUUGUUCUUCACAAUCCCAUGGAAAAGUCUGUUACCUAAAGACCGAAUUGUAAAAUUAAGGUUAAAAUUUUACAUAAGACAAAAAUAAGAAUAAAGUAGCAUAUAAAAAUAAGCACAGGGACUUCCCUGGUGGCACAGUGGUUAAGAAUCCGCUUGCCGGGGCUUCCCUGGUGGCGCAGUGGUUGAGAGUCUGCCUGCUGAUGCAGGAGACACGGGUUCAUGCCCCGGUCCGGGAAGAUCCCACAUGCUGCGUAGUGGCUGGGCCCGUGAGCCAUGGCCGCUGAGCCUGCGCGUCCGGAGCCUGUGCUCCGCAACGGGAGAGGCCACAACAGUGAGAGGCCCGCGUACUGCAAAAAAAAAAAAAAAAAAGAAUCCGCUCGCCAAUGCAGGGGACACGGGUUCGACCCCUGGUCUGGGAAGAUUCCACAUGCCACGGAGCAGCUAAGCCCAUGCACCACAACUACUGAGCCUGCGCUCUAGAGCCCGUGAGCCACAACUACUGAGCCUUCAUGCCACAACUACUGAAACCCGUGCGCCUAGAGCCCGUGCUCCGCAACAAGGGAAGCCACCACAAUGAGAAGCCCACACACCACAACGAAGAAUAGUCCCCACUGGCCGCAACUAGAGAAAACCUGCAUGCAGCAACGAAGACCCAACACAACCAAAAAUAAAUGAAUGAAUAAAUGAAUAAAUGAAUUAAAUAAAUUAAAAAAACAAAAAAAUAAGCACAUAUAUAUAACAAGCAAAGAGAAUAUAUGCAGAGUUUCAUGUUACAGUCUUUGGCUGUAAUUGGUCGUGAGCUCACAGUUGAUGUCUAUGGCUUCCUUCUUUGCUACAUAUUCUUCAUUUUCCUUGCUCUCAGACAGGACCUGAGCUAAUUAAAACUCUUCACUUGAUGGAGUGACCCAAACCAUCCUUCUCAAAGGGUCUGAGUCCCCGGUUAUUCUACUUUUUGUUUGUUCAUUUGCUAUAGUUUUACCUUAACAUUGAUGACCCAGAAAAUCCACUGCAUUCUAGACAUAGUUCUUCUUGUCCCCAUUUUUUAGCUGCAAUCCAAUUUCCUCUUGGUUAUCAAGAUCAAUCAUUCUAUCCUGUAAAUAACCCACUUCCUGCUGUUUGCUUCAGUGGCAUAAGGAGCUCAAAACUGCCAGGUUGGGCUUCCCUGGUGGCGCAGUGGUUGAGAAUCCGCCUGCUACUGCAGGGGACACGGGUUCGAGCCCCGGUGUGGGAAGAUCCCACAUGCCGUGGAGCAACUAGGCCUGUGAGCCACAAUUACUGAGCCUGCGUGUCUGGAGCCUGUGCUCCACAACAAGAGAGGCCGCGAUAGUGAGAGGCCCGCGCACCGCAUUGAAGAGUGGCCCCCACUUGCCGCAACUAGAGAAAGACUUCACACAGAAAUGAAGACCCAACACGGCCAUAAAUAAAUUUAAAAAAUUAAAAAAAAAACAACAACAAAAAAGCUUGCCAGGUUAACAGUAUCAUUCAAUGGAACUGUUCUUGUGUCCUCUGGUUGAAGUAUUCCCACCCUGGAGACUAAGACCUCCAAACCACCAGAGUUCAAGGUUCCUGAGUUGGAAAGUAUGUUAUUGGGUAUCAUAGUGAGAGGAGACACUUCUACUUCUAUCUCUUUAUUAUUUAUGGUUCUUCAUAACCAGGAUCGGUGGUCUCUGAUUCAAAGCACAUACAGUGUCCUGUAAGACAGAACCCAUUCCUUUCAGGAUGUCGACUCACAACUGGUGCAGUAACUGAGUCUUCAGCAAGCUAUUCCACCUUCCAAUUAGUCCAGCCACUUCCAGGUGAUAGGGUGUGUGGCAAGAGCAAUUAAUUCCAUGGGCAUGAUUCCAUUUCUGCACUUUCUUUGCUAUGAAAUGAGUUCCUUGAUCAGAAUUAAUACUACAGGGAAUGCCAAGAUGGUAGCUAAAGCAUUCAGUGAGUCCACAGAUGAUGAUUCUGGCGGAUGCAUUAUGGUCAGAGAAGGCAAAUCGAUAUCCAGAACAUGUACCUUUUCCCAGGAGGAUGGAUCUCAGCUCCUUCCAAGGUGGAAGAGAUCCAAUGUAGUCAACCUGCUACCAGGUGUUUGGCUAGUUUCCCCAAGGAAUGGUGUCUAUUGGGAACUCAGUUUGAUCUCUUCUCUUGAUAGAUUAGGCACUCAGCAGUAGCUUUAGCCAAGUUGACCUUAUGGGGAAAUUCAUGUUGUUGAUCCUAUGCAUAGCUUCCACUUCUGUCUCCAUGACAACUUUGUUAAUGGACUCAUUAAGCAUGCACUGGGGUGGCUUGGGAAAGGGGAUGACUGACAUUCACUGAAUGCAUCAUUUGGUCUACCUGAUUAUUAAGAACCUCCUCUGCAGUGGAUACCCUUUGUGGAGGCAUUCAUAUGGGCACAAAUAUCCUCAUGGUGUGCGCCCAUUCUGAGGGGGUCCAUUCAUCUGCUUCUUCCCUAGACUGCUUUUUCACCAAUCUUCCAAUGAUGUUUCUUCUAAGUUCAUGACCGUAUGGCCAAAAUAUAUGGUCUGCCCAUGGAUUAAUAUAGAUCCUUCUGGCCUUCUCUCACUCUAGACAUAGUAGACAGCCAGAUGUAUUACUUGAAAUUUUGCCCAUUGGGAAGAUUUUCCUUUAUUAUUGCCCUUCAGGAUCACCCAUGAGUAGGGCUGUUGUGCAGCGGUUGUCCACAUUGAGGUGGUACCAGAAUUUUUUGCAUACUCAUCUGUAA